rnacentral:rRNA from 1 species
CACGGAAGUUAAGCCCUCCAGGGCCGAUGGUACUGCGCUGGCGACGGCGCGGGAGAGUAGGUCGCUGCCGGGA